AAUUGUGAUAUCAAUUAUAUUAACUUGGUCUCCUCUCAGUUUCUAAUAAAGAUCAGGACACCGGUGAAGUCACUGUCAGGGCAUUGUGUUACAGGUCCAUGAGAAAAUCAGAUAAACCUCACAGUUGAGUGUAUGGUGAAGCUAGAAUUAAUAAGACCGCAGUUAUAGGCUUGUUACUUUAAUAGCCCGAUGUUCCUGGGGACUCGGCUAAGGUUAUUCAUGAUUAAUGUAACUCAAAUGAAAACAGUUAUUGUAGGCAGGUAAGUUUCCCUAGCUGGUCCCCUCUGUGUAAAAUGCGUUCUUAUUCAAGUUUUCAACUCAGUCAUUCGUUUAAGAUGCAAUCUUGUGUUAUAAGUAUUAGGCUAUCAUGAUUAUACAGUGAGCAAGCUAUAUAAAUAAGUAUUUAAUAUAAUAAAAGUGUAGAGCAACAACCGAGGGUGUAAGGUAAAGGCUGAAUAUUGUAGAUUUAUUACAAUAUGUUGCAUGUUUGAAUUAAAAUACCUGUGGAUAUGCAGGAGCACACACUCUACAAAGGCCUGACUGGAGAUUUGCCUGAUCUAUCCGUCCUUCAGAUGACAGCGGCUCACUUCAAGAGCAGGUGAAGCAAGUUGGGACAAUGUUGAAGACGUUUGCUCGCACUGGGCAAUCAGGUGCAGAUCAAACCCUAAUGCUGCGACGUCUUGGGAGUUUGGCGAUGUUGUGCGUAGCAUGGACGACAAAAUGCUAUGCUGCAACGUUUCAGUGCCAAUGUGUCUGUUGGAGAGUUAUCCCUGACAGGGGAUCUGUUACUCCCCCCUAGACACCCAGGAACAUUUGGCGUUGCUUGACAACAGUUUGAGGCAGGAUAAAGAGCUCCAGCAACGAUUUCUUCGGUUUUUGGCAAUCAAAUGUGGGAGGGACCUAAAGACAACCGUGUGGCGAAUGCUUCAGAGUAUCUUCUCUAAUCACCUUUCCAUCAAUACAACCUGGACUGGUGUAGGGGAUAAAGCAUGUUUUAGAGACAUGUUCCUGAAGACCAUUGUUCAAAGAGCCAUCCGGAAGAACCCGGCAACACAGGAUGCCACUGAUGAGGCGAUCCAGGUUAACGUUACGCGUUACCUGAAAGGAGCAUCUGAACAUGAAGGUGGAAAAAG